rnacentral:rRNA from 1 species
UACGUGAGGGGCGAACGUUGUUCGGUGUCACUGGGCUUAAAGGGUGCGUAGGUGGUUGCGUAAGUAAGGUGUGAAAUCCCUCGGCUUACCCGGGGAAUUGCAUUUUAUACUGCGUGGCUUGAGGACUAAAGGGGAAAAGGGAACUCCAGGUGUAGCGGUGAAAUGCGCAGAUAUCUGGGGGAAGGCCGGCGGCGAAGGCGCUUUUCUGGUUAGUACCUGACACUGAGGCACGAAAGCGUGGGUAGCAAACAGG